rnacentral:rRNA from 1 species
UACGUAGGGUGCAAGCGUUGUCCGGAAUUAUUGGGCGUAAAGAGCUCGUAGGCGGCUUGUCGCGUCGGCUGUGAAAACCUGGGGCUCAACCCCGGGCCUGCAGCCGAUACGGGCAAGCUAGAAUUCGGUAGGGGAGACUGGAAUUCCUGGUGUAGCGGUGAAAUGCGUAGAUAUCUGGAGGAACACCGGUGGCGAAGGCGGCAUCCUGGACCAAUAUUGACGCUGAGGAGCGAAAGCCAGGGGAGCAAACGGG